rnacentral:rRNA from 1 species
AUGACCACACACUUGUGCAGCAAUGAGUUCAUGUUAGGAUAUGAGAGAUGGACUAGCCACGGGGAGUCUGAUGCACCUGAAAAUGUAGAGCAUGAUAACGUGGGGGAUGGAGAUAGAAUGAAUGACAUGCUAGUUGAUGCAAUUGUUGCUGAAGGAGUUUCUAAAGGUGAUGAGCCAACAAAAGCUGCCAAAAAAUUCUAUGAAAUGUUGAUGGAAGCCGACAAAAGUUUGCAUGAGAAGACCACACAAUCACGUCUAUCCAUUGUAGGAAGGCUAAUGACUAUUAAAACACAACAUAAUCUGUCAGAAGCUUGUUAUAAUGAGAUGAUGACUCUUAUACAUGACAUUGUUGAGGACGAUGCUGCAAAAGAUCUCCCAGCAAACUUCCAUAGGUCCAAGAAGCUUGUGCAUAGUCUAGCAAUGCCUUACGUCAAAAUUCAUGCAUGCCCCAAUAAUUGUAUGCUUUAUUAUAAAGAGAAUGGAAAUAAAGAAAAAUGCACUAUCUGCAAAGAACCUAGAUAUGAUCAUGUUCGCACUAUAUGGAAGAAGAAUCCUCGAUAUAAUAAUGGAGGAACACGCGUGCAGAAUGAUGGUUGCACCUUAGAUGUGUUUGAGCAUGUAGGAAACCUACAUGGGAGGCCUAUUGCCCGAGAACUAUCGCGUGAAGAGUUGAAUGCAGCAAGGUUGUACAUUUUGACUAACUGCUCUGCUGUUGAUAGAUUUCGUGAAACAUUUGAAGAUGAAAAAUAUGCAAGUCAUCCAAACUUGACAUCGGAGGGCCUUGAUGAAAUGAUGGCAUCCGAAUUUGUGGAAUGGUUUGAGAUUGCUUGCAAAGAAGAUCCCAAUUCUGAUGAGGACUUGUGGAAUUUAGCUAAUGGAUGCAGCUCUAGAGCCUAUUCCUAUAGCUCCUAUGAUGUGAAUGGCUUUCGCUUUUGA